rnacentral:rRNA from 1 species
CCUACGGGAGGCAGCAGUGGGGGAUAUUGCACAUUGGGGGGAACCCUGAUGCAGCGACGCCGCGUGAGUGAAGGAGUUCUUCGGCAUUGAAAGCCCUAUCGGCAAGGAAGAAGCAAGACGGUACCUGACUAAGAAGCCCCGGCUAACUACGUGCCCGCAGCCUCAGUAAUACGUAGGGGGCGCGCGUUAUCCGGGUUCACUGGGGGUAAAGGGAGCGUAGACGGCCAUGCAAGCCAGGGGGGAACGCCCGGGGCCCAACCCCGGGACAGCCGUUGGAACUGCAUGGCUGGAGAGCGGGAGGGGCAGGCGGAAUGCCUGGUGUAGCGGUGAAAUGCGUAGAUAUCAGGAGGAACACCGGCGGCGAAGGCGGCAUGCUGGACCGCGACUGACGUUGAGGCUCGAAAGCGUGGGGAGCGAACAGGAUUAGAUACCCCAGUAGUC